CCCAAGUGCAAUUUUGUACGGUUUAUAUAAAAAAGUUUAACCGUUCGUCUUAUUUAAAAAAAUAUAAUAUUUUUAUUGUUAUUAGAUGAUAAAAUAUGAAUAAUAUUUUAUGUGUAACUAUUUUUUUAUUUUUUUAUAAAUUUUUUAAAUAAGAUAGAUGGUCAAAUAUUGAACACAUAUACCUAUGGCUGUACUUAUU
rnacentral:pre_miRNA from 1 species